ACCGGGCGCGCCGCUCUGAGGACGGGGAGGGGCCGGCGGUGGGCGCUGCGGCGCUGCAAGGCUCUGCAGCAUGUGCCUGUGCUGUAGGGAGGACGAGUCUGUCCAAGUCAACCCCGAAAGCUCGAGCUGGCGGCAUCCUGCAGAAGUCACUCAAAGGCAGUCCACAGCUAAACGUAUUGAGCAUAUGAGAAACCUUUGGAAACAGAAGAGGAAAUUUAAUAAACGUUUUGCAAGGCCUGCGCCUGUUCCAGAACCAGGACUCCUAUGGACAUAAAGUUGAAGUCUGUGUGGAAGAAAUCAUGCCAGACCACAGAUUUCUAACAUCAAGUGGCAUUUUGUGAUUUGAUGUCAUUCGAAAAAAUAAAGACAGUGCUCCUCCAGUUCAGCAAAAUAAACACAGUGCAACCAUUUAACACCUAAGCUACAGGGUCUAGAAUUUUAUUAAAUAUGAUAUCUUACUACCACUUUCUCUGGUAAUUUGAGAUUGCUUCUUUUCAACAAAUAAUAAUAUGCAUAUGCCUUUGUAAGUGAUGUAUUCAUGCUUAUGUUUUUGCAGCUGGAUUUACAACUUAUUUAGAGAUUUAGCAUUAUGCUUUAAUAAUAGGGGAAAAUACAUUUCCUCUGCUGUAUAUUUAUAAUGAGUUGUGUUUAAACAAGAUGUUUAAAAUCUUUAAACAAGUCCUAGUAGAGAGUUUUGUUUCGGUUUGUUUUUUUAUCGAAGUAUGACGUAUUGUGGUGUAGUUGACUGACAAUAUUAGAUUCAGGUGCACAAUGUAGUGAUUCAAUAUUUUUGAAGAUUAUACUUCAUUUAAAGGUACUUAUAAAAUAUUGGCUGUUUUCCAUGCACUGUACAUUAUAACCCUGUAUCUUAUUUAUUUUAUAUUUCAUAGGUUGUACCUAGGAAAGAGUUUUAAUAUAACUAAUGUCUGUAUCAUAUGUUGAUAUUGCAAAUAAGCUAUAGUAUAAUUAAAAUUUUCAUUUAAGGUAUUAGUAAAAUUUGAAUACUGAAUUUUUACUUUUAUGCAAGAAAUAAAUCAUUACCAUAUCUGUAAAAUGCUUACUUACUUAUAUAAGUAAUUUCUAACAUGAAAAAGGAAUUAUCACAAUUAUUUUCUGAUAAAAGAAUAACCGACUAUAGAAUGAACAAGAAUAUUAUAUUCGAUGACUGAUGUGUGUUUUCUUAAAUAAAAUUUAAAGUGAAAUACAGGAAAUUCUGCUUCUGGGCAUAAUGGAAGUACCAGAAUUAUGUUUCCGUAGUAAACAACCAAAAAAUAAGACAAAAUUCUAAAAACAAUGGUUUCAGAAAAUAGACAAAAGUCAAAAACAGAUUGUGAUCCCUAAGAGAAGAGAACCAAAUGAACCCCAUUUACUGCCUGAGGAGCGUUCCAGAGCAGUCCUUUAUGCAGGGAAGAGGAUCAUAGGCAGAACACAGGAGUUUUCCUGAUUGAGAAAGAGAGAUAAGGAUUCAGGCAGUCUGGAGUAACUGGAACCAGUAGGGCAGAAAUCCAGAAAGUAAGAAACUGCUGAAAGUAAUUGGCAGAUCUGUACUAUGACUUGCAUUUAGUCUGUGUUAAAUGCAAAGCUGCAUGUGUGUAGGGUGAACUCAGCAAGGUCAGAUCUGUGUACUCCUUUUGUACCAUCCAUGUGCGAUAUCUAGCGUCCAGUCAAGAUUACUCGGCAUGCCAAGGAACAAAAAAUUAUCAAACAUUAAAAAGGGGGGAAUAAAGUUAAUAGAGCCACCAAAAUGAAGAGAGGAUGGAAUCAGAAGAAUCAGUUUAAUCAUCUAUUAUAAAUAUGUUGACUAUGUUCAGCAGUUUAAAGAAAAAUGUGAACACAGCAAGGAGAGGAAUGGAAGACUAAAAAGAUGGAAAUUUUAACACUGAAAAUAUCUGAAAUUUUAAAAAUUCACUAAAUUAUAUUAACAGUAUAUUAGAUGUAAAUAAAAGACAUUGAAGGUCAUGCCAGUAUUCUUUCCUGGAGAAUCCAAUGGACAGAGGAGCCUGGCGGGCUACAGUGCUAGGGUUGCAAAGAGUCGGACACUACUGAGAGACUACGUAUGAAAGACAUUGAAAUCGAAGAUACAACAGAUAAAACAAUAGAAACAAUCCAAACUAAAGCAAAGAGAAAAAGACUGGGAAAAUGACUAGCUGCUCACUGAUCUGUGAGACAAUAUCAUGAGGUCUAAGACAUGAAUAACUAGAGAUAAGUUAGUGGGGAAGGAUGGAACCAAAAAAAAAAAAAAAGCCCAAAAUGUC
rnacentral:lncRNA from 1 species